ACAGUUCACGCGCAGCUGAGAAGUGAGAUCACACCUUGGAAAGUUUCAAGAGGAGUGAGGAUGCCAUCUUUGUUCCUGUCGAAGAAUGACACAUGCAUCUGGAGUUCUGUCAUGUUGGAGUUGGAGCUACCACCGUCAGGUUCAGGUAGUGCCCUCACACUCACCGCGGCACCUAAAAUUAUACACAAAAGAAAGCAAGCAUCGAUAUCUGAAACUCACUGCAAGAGCCUAUUUAUCUGCCGAAUCUGCUAGCUAUUCAGCCGGUAUAGGCGUGCCAUCGCAAAAACAUCAACAAUUUGAAAGGAAUCUCAAUUGUCAAAUAGCACUAGAAGUUUUGAUACUUACAGCAAACGCUCCAUGUCAGCAGCGCAGAUGCAAUCGACAGCGAUCUCAGGGAAGCGUCCACCGGCCGCGGCUGGCGGCUCGCCAUUGUUUCCGAUCCGUCGGCGAGUUGAGCUUCUCCAGUUGUGUGUGGAUAUGUGUUGAGUGCAAUAGCAUUGGCACAUUGCUCUGCUUAAAUGGGUGCAGAG
rnacentral:lncRNA from 1 species